rnacentral:lncRNA from 1 species
GGUGCUGACUGCCACAGGAGAGCAGAGGCAAGGCAGCCACUGAAUGUUCCAGAACGGAGAAGAGGGAAAAUGUGUUUAAAACUUCUUGUGGGAAAUGGCUACCCGGCACAGGCACAACUUCAAAAGCAGGAUGGUAGAAAUGGAAACCUGAGGGAGAGACCCCAAGGUUAUUGAGGAAAGGAAUCACAAGAUGUUUCUCUCUGAUAGUCUCUUUACUGUCCUUAUUCCUGGUUGAUUUUUGAGCUGACCAUCAGAGCCUGAAGCCUGCCGAUUGUCGUCUCUAUGAAGCAGAUGACUGAAUAUGGAGUUUGAUAAAUGCAAGAAGUCAAAGCCAACAUCUGAAGAGAUUUCAGCUGGGAUGCUGAUGCGAUCUCUCUUAGACAAAAUGCUUGCUUUGCGUCUAUUUCAUGCUGCUACCAAGUAGGUGAAAUUCUAAGGAUUUAGAUACCAUUACCCUAGAGCUCCCAGAAUAAAAUUUGAGUAUGAAAUUACAGAUGAUUGCCACUGGGAGGCCCCGGUGAUCUGCAAAAUGAACUUUUCCUUCUGAAUAAAUAAGUGAAAAUAAAAGAAAUGAUUUAAGCAAGUGAAUUGAAUUAUAAAAGAUGAUAUGCAAAUGCAUCAAAAGCGGCAAGGGGUAAAUACACAACAAUGUAAUGUGA